AGAUGGAUAAACUUUCAAAAUGAAAAUUUUAGAUCUCAAAAAGUUAUGAAACUCUGUAGUUGACAACUUUUUGAUUUGAAAUAAUCUUGUCAAAGAAAACUAUAUUUGAAUUUCUAUAAAUCGGAGACCUUUCGUCAAAACUCGAAUUGCACCUCCGCCAAGGCUAUGCUGAUGAGGGGUAGGCAAAGAAAAUAAAUAAGUGAGAUCCGCUGAAGAGUGUCUAGGUUAGAGGUUGUUCUUCGUGUGUUCCUACAAUAGCUCCUCCUCACCAAAUCUUGAGCCAGAAGUGCUCCGUCGGCUACCUCAUUUAAUUUGGUGCAGCUCUGCUACCGGAGCUAAAGUCAUAGCGACGCGAGAGCCGCACCAAACAAACAACUUCACUCAAAAACUAAAAACUUUUCAACGUUUUCUAUCACAUUAAAUCUUGCGACAUAUGUAUGGAGUAUUAAAUAUAGAUAAAAAUAAAAAAUAAUUACACAGUUUACCUAUAAAUCACGAGACGAAUCUUUUAAGCUUAGUUACUUUAUGAUUGGAUAAUGUUUGUUAAAUAAAAAUGAAAGUGA
rnacentral:lncRNA from 1 species